UAGGGAAUCUUCGGCAAUGGGGGGAACCCUGACCGAGCAACGCCGCGUGAGUGAAGAAGGUUUUCGGAUCGUAAAGCUCUGUUGUUAAGGAAGAACGUGUGUGAGAGUGGAAAGUUCACACAGUGACGGUACUUAACCAGAAAGGGACGGCUAACUACGUGCCAGCAGCCGCGGUAAUACGUAGGUCCCGAGCGUUGUCCGGAUUUAUUGGGCGUAAAGCGAGCGCAGGCGGUUAGAUAAGUCUGAAGUGAAAGGCAGUGGCUCAACCAUUGUAGGCUUUGGAAACUGUUUAACUUGAGUGCAGAAGGGGAGAGUGGAAUUCCAUGUGUAGCGGUGAAAUGCGUAGAUAUAUGGAGGAACACCGGUGGCGAAAGCGGCUCUCUGGCUUGUAACUGACGCUGAGGCUCGAAAGCGUGGGGAGCAAACAGGAUUAGAUACCCUGGUAGUCCACGCCGUAAACGAUGAGUGCUAGGUGUUAGACCCUUUCCGGGGUUUAGUGCCGCAGCUAACGCAUUAAGCACUCCGCCUGGGGAGUACGACCGCAAGGUUG
rnacentral:rRNA from 1 species